AUGCAAUCAAAGAUAUUGGGGAACGAUAACCACAGAAGAGUCAGGACUGAUGUGAAGACCGAAGUCACCCAGAUAUAGAACAACGUGAAAACCCUGGGGGAGUGACUAGACCUUCUGUAACAGCCGGCGAGGCAUAAUUUAUCCCAGAUCAAGGGCAAGUUCUCCAAGCAUGGAGGAUUAUCUACGAGCGUGGGAAUGCCCGGACCUUCUGUAACAGCCGGCGAGCCUUAAAUCAUCCUAGGACUUGGGCAGGUUCAACAAACAUGGUGGGUUGUCUGCAAGCUCGUGGACAUGG